rnacentral:rRNA from 1 species
CCUACGGGAGGCAGCAGUGGGGAAUAUUGCACAAUGGGGGAAACCCUGAUGCAGCGACGCCGCGUGAGUGAAGAAGUAUCUCGGUAUGUAAAGCUCUAUCAGCAGGGAAGAAAAUGACGGUACCUGAGUAAGAAGCCCCGGCUAACUACGUGCCAGCAGCCGCGGUAAUACGUAGGGGGCAAGCGUUAUCCGGAUUUACUGGGUGUAAAGGGAGCGUAGACGGCGGGGCAAGUCUGGAGUGAAAGGCCGGGGCUCAACCCCGGGACUGCAUUGGAAACUGUACGGCUGGAGUGCAGGAGCGGUAAGUGGAAUUCCUAGUGUAGCGGUGAAAUGCGUAGAUAUUAGGAGGAACACCAGUGGCGAAGGCGGCUUACUGGACUACAACUGACGUUGAGGCUCGAAAGCGUGGGGAGCAAACAGGAUUAGAUACCCUUGUAGUC